rnacentral:rRNA from 1 species
UGCGUAGGCGGUUUGGUAAGUCUGAUGUGAAAUCUAUGGGCUCAACUCAUAGUCUGCAUCGGAAACUGCCGGGCUUGAGUAUGGGAGAGGUGAGUGGAAUUCCUGGUGUAGCGGUGAAAUGCGUAGAUAUCAGGAGGAACACCUGUGGCGAAAGCGGCUCACUGGACCAUAACUGACGCUGAUGCACGAAAGCUAGGGGAGCAAACAGGAUUAGAUACCCUGGUAGUCCUAGCCCUAAACGAUGACUGCUUGGUGUGACGGGUACCCAAUCCCGCCGUGCCGUAGCUAACGCGUUAAGCAGUCCGCCUGGGGAGUACGGUCGCAAGGCUGAA